ACAAUAUAUUUUAUUUAGUCCAAUCUAACCAAAAUAUUGUCAUUUCAAUAUGUAGUCGAUCUUGAAAAUGACUACUGAUGUAUCUUGCGUUCUUUUUUUCAGGCUAAUUCUUUGAACUUUGGCGUGUAUUUUACACUUACAGCACAUCUCAAUCAGACCAGCCACAUUGCAAGUGCUCCAUAGGCACAUGUGGCAGGUGGCCACCGAGGUGGACAGCACAGCCCGAACAGAGUCCUUUCUGUUACUCUUCAGAAACAAUAGCUUUCUCCAUUCAGGACCACACUCCUGCAUGCCCUCUCCACCGCAUCAGCACCUGCGCCAUGGUUCACAGGUGGCCUUGGGAUUGUAAGGCAAGCGCUGUGCUUCUGUUCGCUUGCAGAGAGCCCUGAACUCAUGCUUCUGUCUGGGCAGCGGCCCUUGACAGCUGGGGCUCGCUCUUUCCUUCCCAGGGCGCCAUGGUUGGAUGCUGUAUCUUGCUAAAGUCAAACUUUCUACUUCGAAAAACUUUACAAAACUUCACAAAGGCAGAUUUUCUCUUACUUUUUAAAAACAGGCCCAGAGAGAAGACAGAAACCUACAGGCUGCCCGCAAUGGCCCAGGAGGCGGGGUUUCCACCAGGAAGCAGCGCCUUUAUGAAUUAAGCACGUGACGCAUCUCAGCGUGGCCACGUCUGUAAGGUGAUAUGGAAGUUGUUUCUAAAUAUUGAAAACGGCAGCGCCAUUACCAUUCUGGGAUUCCCUGUGUUAGGCCUCACCCACCGACUGCUUGGCUGUCUAUCCAGAGGAAUUAAAACACCCAGCGCCCCAGGGAAUGUCAUAAAAUUUCACCAUAUUCAGUGACACCCUCUUCAACGAAUUGCAGAGAACCAAGUCUUGUGUGCACCUGGCUGUGAAUCACCGACUGGGUGACCUCCAUUUGGAAGCUGCUCUCCUGUUGGGAUGAAUUUAUCCUUCAUGAGAUGGAAGUACCUCCCUUUUCCUAGGGCUGCACGCCUAAUUCCACAUCACUCUGACAUUACUUCAGUUGUUUACACGGCAAUCUUGUGUGAUCCAAGCCGCUCUACUACUGCUGUCAUUUUAAGACCGUUUGAAACAUCUUAAUAGUCCCAUUUUUUUUCCUUUUCCUCUUGCCCAUUUCCAAAUGGAAGGAAUUCUUAUGAGAACCUUCACGACGAAGGAAGAAAGCUACAAGGAAUGAACCCUCUUGUGGAGGCGAGAAAACCUUUCUCUGCGGUGUUGCUGGAUUUGCUCCUGGAAUCAGCGGCCUCUGUAGCUUUCUGCAGUGUUUGGUGUGAGGCAGGCAGUUUUGAACUGUGCCCUCUUAACAACGGCAGAUGUGCCCCAGGGCCAGCGAUGCUACAGCCUUCAAAAGAGAUUUCCCCAGAGCAGAACUGCAGUGACCAACCCAGGGCAGACCCUGUGUUUGGAGCCUGUCUCCACCGCUGCCCGCCCCCAGCAGCAGCCAUCUCGGGGUCUGCAGCAUUCGCUCUGCAACCACCUUGGAUGUGGCCACUUCUCUGCCCCUCCCUUUGCCCACUCUGCUUCUGACCAUCCUGCAGCUGAUUUAGGUGACUUGUCCAGAUCCUCUGCUCUGCCCCCAGGGCCACUAUGUGGAAUAGGGGCAGUCGUAGAGAAAAGGACUGUCUCCCUUUACCCCAGAGUGAGAAGCCAACACCUUGGUGUGUCCUCUGCCCUCAGGUUCUAUGGGCUGGCUCAGUGACGGCAACUGUCUAUGCUAUUCUCUGGUCACUGCUGUCAGACCUAAGUCCCCACGGUGAAGGGGACAUUUACAGGGCCUGCUCACAUUCAUGAUCUCUUUUGAAGGUACUGACUGUUUUGUGUGCCAAAUGCUUUGUCUCAGCAGAGAGAGCUUGGAGAAGAGUUGAGUCAUGUGAAAACUGUGGUGGCAGCAACCUAAUUUCCAGUCCUGGGGCUCAGGGGAAACUAGCCAGGCUUUAUAGGGCUUGCCUUACAAGCUCAAACCUACUGGUUGUGAACAAAUGCCACAGUAAACUUAACUGCCGAAAA
rnacentral:lncRNA from 1 species